GGGUGCGAUCAUACCAGCACUAAUGCACCGGAUCCCAUCAGAACUCCGCAGUUAAGUGUGCUUGGGCGAGAGUAGUACUAGAAUGGGUGAUUUGAUUAAAACGUACAUUUGAUUUGCUCUUG
rfam:Arabis alpina cultivar Pajares chromosome 1, whole genome shotgun sequence.